UACGAAGGGGGCUAGCGUUGCUCGGAAUCACUGGGCGUAAAGGGUGCGUAGGCGGGUCUUUAAGUCAGGGGUGAAAUCCUGGAGCUCAACUCCAGAACUGCCUUUGAUACUGAGGAUCUUGAGUUCGGGAGAGGCGAGUGGAACUGCGAGUGUAGAGGUGAAAUUCGUAGAUAUUCGCAGGAACACCAGUGGCGAAGGCGGCUCACUGGCUCGAUACUGACGCUGAGGUGCGAAAGCGUGGGGAGCAAACAGG
rnacentral:rRNA from 1 species